CCCCGUCCGGUAUGGGAGACCACAAAUCCCGGUAGGGUUCCCUACGGACCCGGUCCGUCCACCAUCUCCCAGGAUAUCUAGUCAGGCUGACCACAUUAUACCAUUACCCAUUUACAUAAUUUUUCAUUCUCUUUUUCCUCAGUCAGCAUCAUUAGUCCACAUACAAGCAAGCAAAACAGUAAUUUAUGCCAAACAGACACAUACAGCAUCAAUAUCCCGGUCAUUCAAUCCAUAAUCAAUAGAACAGUAGAAUAUGCACACGAAACUAUAAAAUGAAAACAUCAAAUCUCAUACUGCAUUUAAAACUGUAAACAGGCCAAAUAACAGUUAACCGACAAACACACUAGACUCGGGCUCCAUUAGCAACCUUAAGCAAUUUCACACAUUCGUUGAUUCAUGAAAUACCGUUUUAUCAUUUAUUGAACUUUAAAACCGUGAUAGAAAAUAGGGUGAGGGGUCCUUAGACGUUUCGGGGUCCGAACACGGCUUCACAGUGCGCCUACAGGCUGUCCCUAAUUUUUUCUGAAUUUUUCUCGCGGAACUGAAACGCACUACUGG
rnacentral:lncRNA from 1 species